UUGAACGCUGGCGGCAGGCCUAACACAUGCAAGUCGAGCGGAUGAAGGGAGCUUGCUCCUGGAUUCAGCGGCGGACGGGUGAGUAAUGCCUAGGAAUCUGCCUGGUAGUGGGGGAUAACGUCCGGAAACGGGCGCUAAUACCGCAUACGUCCUGAGGGAGAAAGUGGGGGAUCUUCGGACCUCACGCUAUCAGAUGAGCCUAGGUCGGAUUAGCUAGUUGGUGGGGUAAAGGCCUACCAAGGCGACGAUCCGUAACUGGUCUGAGAGGAUGAUCAGUCACACUGGAACUGAGACACGGUCCAGACUCCUACGGGAGGCAGCAGUGGGGAAUAUUGGACAAUGGGCGAAAGCCUGAUCCAGCCAUGCCGCGUGUGUGAAGAAGGUCUUCGGAUUGUAAAGCACUUUAAGUUGGGAGGAAGGGCAGUAAGUUAAUACCUUGCGGUUUUGACGUUACCAACAGAAUAAGCACCGGCUAACUUCGU
rnacentral:rRNA from 1 species